GACGAACGCUGGCGGCGUGCCUAAUACAUGCAAGUAGAACGCUGAAGGAGGAGCUUGCUUCUCUGGAUGAGUUGCGAACGGGUGAGUAACGCGUAGGUAACCUGCCUGGUAGCGGGGGAUAACUAUUGGAAACGAUAGCUAAUACCGCAUAAUAGUAGAUGUUGCAUGACAUUUGCCUAAAAGGUGCAAUUGCAUCACUACCAGAUGGACCUGCGUUGUAUUAGCUAGUUGGUGGGGUAACGGCUCACCAAGGCGACGAUACAUAGCCGACCUGAGAGGGUGAUCGGCCACACUGGGACUGAGACACGGCCCAGACUCCUACGGGAGGCAGCAGUAGGGAAUCCUCGGCAAUGGACGGAAGUCUGACCGAGCAACGCCGCGUGAGUGAAGAAGGUUUUCGGAUCGUAAAGCUCUGUUGUAAGAGAAGAACGAGUGUGAGAGUGGAAAGUUCACACUGUGACGGUAUCUUACCAGAAAGGGACGGCUAACUACGUG
rnacentral:rRNA from 1 species